rnacentral:rRNA from 1 species
GCUUGCUUCCGCCGACGACCGGCGCACGGGUGCGUAACGCGUAUACAAUCUACCUUGUACUGGGGUAUAGCCUUUAGAAAUGAAGAUUAACCCCCCAUAGUCUCUUAGAGUGGCAUCACUUCUAGAGUAAAGGUUACGGUAUAAGAUGAGUAUGCGUUCUAUUAGUUUGUUGGUGUGGUAACGGCACACCAAGACUACGAUAGAUAGGGGCCCUGAGAGGGGGAUCCCCCACACUGGUACUGAGACACGGACCAGACUCCUACGGGAGGCAGCAGUGAGGAAUAUUGGACAAUGGAGGCAACUCUGAUCCAGCCAUGCCGCGUGCAGGAAGACUGCCCUAUGGGUUGUAAACUGCUUUUAUACAGGAAGAAACACCUCUACGUGUAGAGGCUUGACGGUACUGUAAGAAUAAGGAUCGGCUAACUCCGUGCCAGCAGCCGCGGUAAUACGGAGGAUCCAAGCGUUAUCCGGAAUCAUUGGGUUUAAAGGGUCCGUAGGUGGAUAAUUAAGUCAG